ACGCACGCUGGCGGCGUGCCUAAUACAUGCAAGUUGAGCGAUGAAGAUUGGUGCUUGCACCAAUUUGAAGAGCAGCGAACGGGUGAGUAACGCGUGGGGAAUCUGCCUUUGAGCGGGGGACAACAUUUGGAAACGAAUGCUAAUACCGCAUAAUAACUUUAAACAUAAGUUUUAAGUUUGAAAGAUGCAAUUGCAUCACUCAAAGAUGAUCCCGCGUUGUAUUAGCUAGUUGGUGAGGUAAAGGCUCACCAAGGCGAUGAUACAUAGCCGACCUGAGAGGGUGAUCGGCCACAUUGGGACUGAGACACGGCCCAAACUCCUACGGGAGGCAGCAGUAGGGAAUCUUCGGCAAUGGACGAAAGUCUGACCGAGCAACGCCGCGUGAGUGAAGAAGGUUUUCGGAUCGUAAAACUCUGUUGGUAGAGAAGAACGUUGGUGAGAGUGGAAAGCUCAUCAAGUGACGGUAACUACCCAGAAAGGGACGGCUAACUACGUG
rnacentral:rRNA from 1 species